AGACAAACACUAGGCGAUACGAGCCGGCGCAAGGACUAACUUUGCCUCAUAACGAAGCCGUGACAAGCUAUUUAGUGCGGGCUUUGUCGACAAAUCCAAAUCUUCAUGAUGCUGACAAAGACAACAUUGUGUCUGCCUGCAAGACGUAUUACGAAACCUUACACAGGAG